GUGUACAUUUUUUUAGAUUAUUAUUUAUUGAAAAAAAAAAUUCCCGUUCCCUGUCCCGGACCAAAACGGAGUGAGAGAUUCACUGCGUCUCUCUCUCUCUACCAACAAACGGCUUUCACUUCAUUUCUCGGACGAGUUCUCUUUUCCUCUGUUUUCAUACUCCCCGCAUGUUUAAUGAACUUGGGGUUGCCAGGGGGGCAGCAGCAAAGGCACUGAAACGAAAGUUUGAUGUGUUUGCCAGUCGUGAGCAGUCUCAUGCUGGCAUACAAGUACUGGGAAUUGAAGUGAGGAUCUCAGCCAUAGAAAAAUUUGAGGGAGAUUGUAGGCUUAUUAGAAAAAUAAAACCAAAAUUGUGAGAGGCUGAGACUUAUCUUGAACUCUGGUGUUUAGUGAUUGCUUUUUUUCCUCUUUUUUUGUAAAGGCAAUGGGGCAGCGGGCAUCUAGGAUUUCAAGGUGGAAUAUCAUGGGCAUGCUGCAUGGUGACGCAGGGCCUUUCUUGCUUUAUCACACAACACACCAUAUGACAAACCCUGGUCAUGAGAACAUGGAAACUUUGCUUGGUAGAACUGUUGGUGUUAUUUUAAGGAAGUCCGAAAUCAAAGCUGUAGAGGGCAGCUGUCAUACUGGAUUCUUAUUUCUUAGCACGCCUCUUCUGUAUUUUCAUGCACUUCAUGCACGCAUUGCAAACAGGUUUAGUGAUUGGAAGACAAUGACUAAAUGACUUAAAUUAAAUGAUGACCAGUUCAAUUCUUAGGACUGUUUUGCAUUAUUUGAGUGGGUAUCCUUUUGGGGACUCUGGAAAAUCUUUAUAUACUGGACAACUGAUCAAUGGGACUUGUAUGGGCAACAUUUACAGCCUUGAAUAGAUAUAACACCCACCAUUAAUGAUUUUCACUCAUAACCAGAAUGUUUCACACUCCCAGUUGUCUUUCUUUACAUAUUGUUCUGUAAUUUUAGUCGGUAUAUGUAUGUGCAGAUCAAACAUUUAGCCACUGCUGCUAUAUUUCUUGAGGGCAUUGGCGGCAUCCUACUUAUCUUUGGCAGUUCUCUUGGAGCCUACCUACUGGUUGGUGCAAGAAAUAGUAUUUGACUUUUGGUCUUCUAAAGGGUAUGGCUAUGAGCAAUGUAUAAUGUACUCAUUUAAUGAAUAUCAAGGUCCUUUCUUGUUGCAGAUUAUACAUCAGUUAAUUGCUAUUCCAAUCCUAUAUGAUUUCUAAAACUAUGACAGCGAGGAGAAAUAAUUUAAUCAACUUUUUAUCAAAUUCACACAGGUAUGAAGAACUCACUUCCCAGAAGACAGCACAAGUAGAAGGUUGCUAAAACUAUAACUGGUUAGGAACAAAUGGCUAUCAGUUGAUUGGUGCAUCUUAAUACAGGAGCUGUAUACCACUUGUGCCAUUCCAGAGGGAAAUUUGUUGCCAAAAAUUUGGCAUUCUUGCCUUGUAUAGGUUUAAAUGAAAGCAGAAUGAGAGGGGUGAUGCAUGUACUGGGUAUUUUAAAUAAUUUCUUCGAAUUAUUCUCCAUGAACAUUCCAGUACUGUCCUAAUUCAAUUAUUGGGCAGGUAUGCUUUGUUUUAUUUUGUUCAAUACAAGGGAUCUAACAAGGCCUACUAUUCUGAA